CCCCAGGAGGCUCCGGAAGUGCGGGUUGUCUUGCUGUUCGCUACGGAGAAGGGAGAGCAAUGACGGCCCGUGGUAAUUCAAUGACUGCCGAAGAAGGUCCCGGUCCAUGGCCAGAGAUUGCUGGACCCAGUAACAGGCCCUGGAAAUGUAAAGAUGAAAAAUACUCCUGAUUCUUGAGUGAUGCACAAUCCAAUAGAAGAUUAGACAUAAGAAGAAAUGUGACACACGGAAUUCAGAGGAGUGAGAAUCACUUCAAACUAUAAAGAUUGAGCAAGGUUUUAUUGAAGAAGAGUCAGGAUGUUAACUGGAUCUCAAAGGGCUUGGGAGAGGAGAGAAGACAGAAAAAAGUAAGGAAAAUGCAACCCAGGGUCAGCGGCAGUAAGCAGAACACCUUGGCUGAAGUAUGAAUUUGAGGAAGGUAAGUUAAGAGUUAAAACUGGAAAUAUAGGCAGGGAGCAAAUUGUAGGGUUUUAAUGCUGCUGUUGUUUACCAUAAAACUAAAAGCUAAACUUUCAGUAAAUUAAGCUAAUCAAAUUCCAGAAAGUUUUUGUGUGGAGGGAGUUCCCUAUGGGAGGGAGGGUCUCCAUAGGCUGCUAAAUUUUUAUCAUAAAGUAAGUCUUACUGCCAGAAAAAAGUCACUGUAAUAAUAAAUUAGUAGGGUUCCACAUGUAUCCCAAUACAGUAAUGUCCACAUGAAAUUUGCACAAUUUAUUUCCACAAAAUUGAGGUGUCUUCAGCCAGAAAUUGGAAGAUUCACCUGUCAUCUGAGAAUCCAGCUGUGUUCUUUUUGGGUUUUU